UUAAACCCAUAGAUUAAACCUCAAACCGCAGGUGUCUGCUUUGUUACCGGAUGUAGCUAAACAAGAUGCUUUCCCUCAACUUCUAGCCAUCUUAUUUCCACGUUGUAUCUUGUAUCUAUAACAUAUGUAGAAAUAGAAAACAAAGUGCAAAGUGGUUUAAAGAACAGGCACAUUGUGAGUUAAUUUUUUAUUUUAUUUUUACUGACCCAACUGCUGGACGUGACUUCGUGCAGCAUCUCUGUAAAUUACGGCUAACGGCCUCCAGGUCCCAAUGCUUGACAUAACAUCAGCACAUGGCAGAGAAGGAUGAAACAAUGCCUGCCUAGCUUGGACUUGAAGGACUCCCUCCAGGACCAAGCAGGAAACCACAGGAAUGAUGUCCUGAGCGUCUUCUUGAGGACGACCAAGUCAAGGUAGACGAUGUGAUCCAACACCGCAGAGGCACAGAGCAGUCCACCAUGCAGAGCGCCUGCUAUCCCACAGCUGAACACGUCUUGACCUGGAACAAAAACACAAAUGCAACCUGCUGGAUGAGACAAGACUACCUGGAGUCUGGAUUCAAAUUAUUGUUCCCCCUCUAGAUAAUGUUUACUUUACAAGCUUUAAUUCCUUCUGCAAACUUCGGUAAACUAAUCCAGCAAAAACUGACUAGUUUGGUAUGAAAAAAUUACACUGCAAAGAAACUCUCAAAUUUCAAAGCAUUGUCAACGCUCCCCCCUCCGAGGUAAAUCAGUCUUAGGGGUUGUUGAGACAUUUCUAUGCCCGUGAAGACUUCACUCAAUCACAAAACACAAAGAAUUGACUGUGGUUGCAGAACCUUUUAACCUAAAAGGCUUUAUACCUGAGAUGUAGAGGUUUUUGACAGGGGUGCUGCAC